rnacentral:sRNA from 2 species
GAGGAUGAGAACCUCCGGGAGCAGGAGGUUCGACUCGAGCGAAGCGAGAGAACGUUGCGUUAGCAACGGCCCGCAGGGCGAGUCACGCAGUGGCGAGUCAUCCUC